rnacentral:rRNA from 1 species
CCAAACUCCAUAUUGAGGCUGCAGUACUGAAUCUAUCUUGGACAAUGAAGGAAACUCUGAUCCAGCCAGCUGGCAUGACGGAAGAAGGCGAAUUAGUCGUACACUUCUUCUGU